GAUGAACGCUAGCGGCAGGCCUAACACAUGCAAGUCGAGGGGUAACAGGGUAGCAAUAUCGCUGACGACCGGCGCACGGGUGAGUAACACGUAUGCAACCUUCCUUUAACUGGGGCAUAGCCCGGAGAAAUUCGGAUUAAUACCCCAUAACAUCAUAGAAAGGCAUCUUUCAGUGAUUAAAGCUCCGGCGGUUAAAGAUGGGCAUGCGUACCAUUAGCUAGUUGGUGAGGUAAUUGCUCACCAAGGCUACGAUGGUUAGGGGGUCUGAGAGGAUGAUCCCCCACACUGGUACUGAGACACGGACCAGACUCCUACGGGAGGCAGCAGUGAGGAAUAUUGGGCAAUGGGCGCAAGCCUGACCCAGCCAUGCCGCGUGAAGGUAGAAGGCCCUAUGGGUUGUAAACUUCUUUUAUACGGGAAGAAACUUCCGAACGUGUUCGGGAUUGACUGUACCGUAGGAAUAAGCAUCGGCUAACUCCGUGCCAGCCGCCGCGGUAACAC
rnacentral:rRNA from 1 species